AGAGGAAGUGUGAAAGGUAUCUGAGAUACCAGCUUAGAAAACAACUCUUUAGCUCCUCCUGGUGAUUAGGACACCACUAAACAACAGGAUGAAGGAUCUGUCCCCAGGGCCGAAGUGAUGAUGUAUCUAAUAUUAUAUCCUAGAACAUUCACAGAGUAGCUGCAGAAUGUCUUGAGCUGGAACAUCCCCAAGAGGCCAUAUAUAUAUCCCAGGGAUUUUACAGUGGACCUCACUAGGCCGGAGUAACUGUAAAGUCAGAUGGAUAAUGAGAAUUCAGGACGUUAGCCACACGUGGACUGUGGCAAAAAGAAAGUGACCCACUGAAGAAGACUGUUUUUCAGCUCUCUCAUCAAUUGCUGUUUCCAGGAGCCCACAGCUCCAAUUACUCAAAAGAACGUUGACUUUUUUUUUUUUGGUAAAAUAUCCUGAUUUUCAGGUUAGGCAAGCAAUUCAUUAAAAAAUAAAAGACUGCAC
rnacentral:lncRNA from 1 species